AAAAAUCCGAGUCAGCAAGAGCUCCUUUCUAUUGUUUGUUCUAGACUUUCCUUUUGGCUGAUUGCGAUAUACUUCUUUGAAACAAUGGUUCUACGUAACGCAGUCAGGUGAAUCGACUGGUCCUUUUUAUGCUUAGUGACAUCUAUAUGAAGGUUUACUAAAUUUUGAGAAACACUUGUCAGGACACAAGACUGAAAGAAAGACGUACUAAAAAACUGCCUGAAAAACACAACAAUCAUUAAAGUCAAUGGAUUACCC